rnacentral:rRNA from 1 species
CCCUUAGAUGUUCUGGGCCGCACGCGUGCUACACUGAACGGUUCAAUGGGUAAGGUAGUGCGAAAGCAUGACCUAAUCUCGAAAUCCGUUCGUGCUGGGGAUAGAAGCUUGCAAUUAUCCUUCUUAAACGAGGAAUACCUUGUAAGCGUGAGUCAUCAUCUCACGCUGAAUACGUCCCUGCCCUUUGUACACACCGCCCGUCGCUCCUACCGAUUGAGUGUUCCGGUGAGGCUUUGGGAGAAUGGCCUCAACAUGAGUUUAUCGUGUUUUGCCGUUUGAACUUAGUCAAACCUUAUCACUUAGAGGAAGGAGAAGUCGUAACA